GACGAACGCUGGCGGCGUGCCUAAUACAUGCAAGUAGAACGCUGAAGGAGGAGCUUGCUUCUCUGGAUGAGUUGCGAACGGGUGAGUAACGCGUAGGUAACCUGCCUGGUAGCGGGGGAUAACUAUUGGAAACGAUAGCUAAUACCGCAUAAGAGUAGAUGUUGCAUGACAUUUGCUUAAAAGGUGCAAUUGCAUCACUACCAGAUGGACCUGCGUUGUAUUAGCUAGUUGGUGAGGUAACGGCUCACCAAGGCGACGAUACAUAGCCGACCUGAGAGGGGGAUCGGCCACACUGGGACUGAGACACGGCCCAGACUCCUACGGGAGGCAGCAGUAGGGAAUCUUCGGCAAUGGACGGAAGUCUGACCGAGCAACGCCGCGGGAGGGAAGAAGGUUUUCGGAUCGUAAAGCUCUGUUGUAAGAGAAGAACGAGUGUGAGAGUGGAAAGUUCACACUGUGACGGUAUCUUACCAGAAAGGGACGGCUAACUACGUG
rnacentral:rRNA from 1 species